rnacentral:rRNA from 1 species
AACGAACGCUGGCGGCAUGCCUAACACAUGCAAGUCGAACGAGACCUUCGGGUCUAGUGGCGCACGGGUGCGUAACGCGUGGGAACCUGCCCUUAGGUUCGGAAUACCUCCCCGAAAGGGGUGCUAAUACCGGAUAAUGUCUUCGGACCAAAGAUUUAUCGCCUUUGGAUGGGCCCGCGUUGGAUUAGCUAGUUGGUAGGGUAAAAGCCUACCAAGGCGACGAUCCAUAGCUGGUCUGAGAGGAUGAUCAGCCACACUGGGACUGAGACACGGCCCAGACUCCUACGGGAGGCGGCAGUGGGGAAUAUUGGACAGUGGGCGAAAGCCUGAUCCAGCAAGGCGGGGUGAGUGAUGAAGGCCUUGGGGUUUAAAGCUCUUUUACCCGGGAUGAUAAUGACAGUACCGGGAGAAUAAGCUCCGGCUAACUCCGUG